rnacentral:rRNA from 1 species
GUAGGACCCAAGCGUUAUCCGGAAUCACUGGGCGUAAAGAGUUGCGUAGGUGGCUUGUUAAGCAGCGUGUGAAAGCGUACGGCUCAACCGUAUAAACAUACACUGAACUGGCAAGCUUGAAGAUGAGAGAGGUUAUUGGAAUUCCAAGUGUAGGGGUGAAAUCCGUAGAUAUUUGGAGGAACACCGAUGGCGUAGGCAGAUAACUGGCUCAUUCUUGACACUAAGGCACGAAAGCAUGGGGAGCAAACGGGAUUAGAUACCCCGGUAGUCCAUGCCCUAAACGAUGGAUGCUAGCUGUUGGUCGUAUCGACCCGAUCAGUAGCGAAGCUAACGCGUUAAGCAUCCCGCCUGUGGAGUACGAGCGCAAGCUUA